rnacentral:rRNA from 1 species
AGCUCGUAGUUGGAUUUCUGUUAAUAUUUUAUAUUAUUAAUUUAUUAUUAUUAAUAUAAUAUUAACAUAAUUCAUAUUACUUUUUUUGAGUAUAUGAAAUUUUACUUUGAGAAAAUUAGAGUGCUUAAAGCAGGCUUUUGCCUUGAAUACUCCAGCAUGGAAUAAUAUUAAAGAUUUUUAUCUUUCUUAUUGGUUCUAAGAUAGAAAUAAUGAUUAAUAGGGACAGUUGGGGGCAUUUGUAUUUAACAGUCAGAGGUGAAAUUCUUAGAUUUGUUAAAGACAAACUAAUGCGAAAGCAUUUGCCAAGGAUGUUUUCAUUAAUCAAGAACGAAAGUUAGGGGAUCGAAGACGAUCAGAUACCGUCGUAGUCUUAACCAUAAACUAUGCCAACUAGAGAUUGGAGGUUGUUCCUUACUCCUUCAGCACCUUA